rnacentral:misc_RNA from 1 species
GACCAGAGAACGAGAGCUAUAUCACAUUACAUGACCUGAAAGGUUGUAAACUUUCAGGAAGUGUUUUUAACAUCCUUUUCAACCUCAAUAAGUUUAUGGCCUUUGAAACUCGUGAUCCAUUUCUGAUUCGUCAGGAGCGUGAGAAUCCAACAUUGACGGAGUGGGAUCGCUUUGCACAUAGGGAAUAUAUUAGGCUUUCAAUGGAGGAAGACGUUGAAGAUGCCUCUAAUGGAAGUGCGGAAGUCUGGGAUGAAUCACUUGAGGCUCCAUUUUGAGGUUACUUAGGUUUUUGAAUGAACGCUUCAAAUUCUUCUAUGGAGAUGUGAGGCGGGAAACAGUAAACUCAAAGGAUCAUUCUUUCAAUGGUACGUGGCAGCUAUGAACUUUUUAAAGGGAAAGUCCAAGCUCAGUGAGGUGGAAUAUAUCUUUUCCAAUUGCCAGCAGAGAAAUUAUUAAGCCUUUGUUGUGUGCGUAUUGACAAACAAUGGAGGAACAUUACAAGGGAAGUGCUGGUUCAUGAUGCUAAAGUUACUGGAAAACAGAGAUAGUUACCCAGAGGUGAGAUUUUGAUUGUCCGGGUUGAAGUAGCUCAGAACAUUUAGUGCAUUUUUUAUUUAUCAAUUUGUAAGAUAU